UUGGUUGAUAAUGAGUGGGAUGACUUCAGUUUCUUUGCUAAUAUUAGAUCAGCAUCUGUAUCUCUGUAAUGAGACUUUCUAUGUAGCAAAAUACUGCACAAACAAUGAGUAAGGAAUUUACUGAUUGCUAUAAAACGAGAUGUGUGUGAUCCAACACAGAGAGUUACAGGACCUGUAGAUCUCAUACUGCUUUCUUGGCUCUCUUAAUAACAUCUUUUUGACUUUCACCCUCAGUCAGUGGAAAGAUGAUGAAGUGCAUUGCGCUCUUUCUUAUUUUGUCACUGGUCAUCCCCAUGGCUGAACCUAGGAGAGGUUUUGUUCACCACCUUUGCAAAGGACUUUCUCACGGCGGAAAGUUUAUCCGUCGGACUUUCAAUUAUUUCAAGAAACAAGGCGUGAAAGAGCAACAAGAUCUGGACAAACGUUCAUUUAAUCAAGAGCAGGCAGCUUUUGAUUAGACCUUCUGAAUCUAUGAUGGUCCUUCUGAAAGAGCCGCUGUAAAACUUUGUUUUAGAUGAAAAUAAAUGCU